UGAGGAAUAUUGGUCAAUGGGCGCGAGCCUGAACCAGCCAAGUCGCGUGAGGGAUGACGGUCCUACGGAUUGUAAACCUCUUUUGCCGGGGAGCAAGCGUGCGUUCGUGAACGCGCGUCGAGAGUACCCGGAGAAAAAGCAUCGGCUAACUCCGUGCCAGCAGCCGCGGUAAUACGGAGGAUGCGAGCGUUAUCCGGAUUUAUUGGGUUUAAAGGGUGCGUAGGCGGGAUGCCAAGUCAGCGGUAAAAAUGCGGUGCUCAACGCCGUCGAGCCGUUGAAACUGGCGUUCUUGAGUGGGCGAGAAGUAUGCGGAAUGCGUGGUGUAGCGGUGAAAUGCAUAGAUAUCACGCAGAACUCCGAUUGCGAAGGCAGCAUACCGGCGCCCUACUGACGCUGAGGCACGAAAGCGUGGGUAUCGAACAGG
rnacentral:rRNA from 1 species